CUACGGGGGGCUGCAGUUGAGGAAAUUUUACAAUGCUCGAAAGAGUGAUCGAGUGAGCCAGAGUGUUUCUCUUAGAGAAACUUUUAUCUGUUGUAAAAAGACAGAUGAAUAAGGACUGGGCAAGACCGGUGCCAGCCGCCGCGGUAAUACCGGCGGUCCAAGUUGCAUCCACAUUUAUUGGGUCUAAAACAUCCGUAGCUUGUUUUGUAAGUCUCUUGUGAAAUCUCAUGUCUCAAGCAUGAGGCGUGCAAGAGAUACUACAUUGCUAGAGACCGGAAGACGCAAAGAGUACGGUUAAGGUAGCGGUAAAAUGUGUUAAUCUUAAUUGGACUAACAAUGGCGAAGGCACUUUGCGAGUACGGAUCUGACAGUGAGGGAUGAAGGCUAGGGGCGCAAAAGGGAUUAGAUACCCCCGUAGUC
rnacentral:rRNA from 1 species